rnacentral:rRNA from 1 species
GACGAACGCUGGCGGCGUGCUUAACACAUGCAAGUCGAACGGAAAGGCCCUGCUUUUGUGGGGUGCUCGAGUGGCGAACGGGUGAGUAACACGUGAGUAACCUGCCCUUGACUUUGGGAUAACUUCAGGAAACUGGGGCUAAUACCGGAUAGGAGCUCCUGCUGCAUGGUGGGGGUUGGAAAGUUUCGGCGGGUGGGGAUGGACUCGCGGCUUAUCAGCUUGUUGGUGGGGUAGUGGCUUACCAAGGCUUUGACGGGUAGCCGGCCUGAGAGGGUGACCGGCCACCUUGGGCCUGCGAUACGGCCCAGACGCCUACGGGAGGCAGCAGUGGGGAAUCUUGCACAAUGGGCGGAAGCCUGAUGCAGCAACGCCGCGUGCGGGAUGACGGCCUUCGGGUUGUAAACCGCUUUCGCCUGUGACGAAGCGUGAGUGACGGUAAUGGGUAAAGAAGCACCGGCUAACUACGUG